rnacentral:tRNA from 1 species
AAAAAUUUAGUUAAAAUAAUAACAUUAGUUUGUCAAACUAAAAUUAAUCAUUGAUUAAUUUUUA